rnacentral:snRNA from 1 species
GAAACUUUUGGUUAAAAUCAAGUGUAGUAUCUGUUCUUAUCAGUUUAAUAUCUGAUACGUGGGUCAUUGACCCACAUGAUAUCAAAUUUAUUUUUCCAAGGGGAGGAUUCAUCACAGUAGCUUGCUACUGGAAUCCUCGAGCGUCGCCUAUGCGUUGCAAUGAGGGGAAAUUUUAUGUUUUCCGA